rnacentral:rRNA from 1 species
CCUACGGGCGGCAGCAGUGGGGGAUAUUGCACAAUGGGGGGAACCCUGAUGCAGCGACGCCGCGUGGGUGAAGAAGCGCCUCGGCGCGUAAAGCCCUGUCAGCAGGGAAGAAAAUGACGGUACCUGAAGAAGACGCCACGGCUAACUACGUGCCAGCAGCCGCGGUAAUACGUAGGGGGCAAGCGUUAUCCGGAUUUACUGGGUGUCAAGGGGGCGCAGGCGGCGAGGCACGCCAGGAGUGAAAGCCCGGGGGCGAACCCCGGGACUGCUCUGGGAGCUGCGUGGCUGGAGUGCAGGAGGGGCAGGCGGAAUUCCUGGUGUAGCGGUGAAAUGCGUAGAUAGCAGGAGGAACACCGGUGGCGAAGGCGGCCUGCUGGACUGCAACUGACGUUGAGGCCCGAAAGCGUGGGGAGCAAACAGGAUUAGAUACCCUUGUAGUC